rnacentral:rRNA from 1 species
ACCUCAUGUCAUCCUGAACAGACCAGUCUCAUCUGAUUUUGGAAGCUGGGCAGGGUCAGACUUGUUUAGUACUUCUAUGAAAGAUCAUUAAGGACUACCGGAUUCUGGUA